GAUAGAGGCCUACCAUGGUGGUAACGGGUAACGGGGUGUUAGGGCACGACACCGGAGAGGGAGCCUGAGAAACGGCUACCACAUCCAAGGAUGGCAGCAGGCGCGCAAAUUACCCAAUCCCGACACGGGGAGGUAGUGACAAUAAAUAACAAUACGGGGUUCUUUAGGAUCUCGUAAUUGGAAUGAGUACAAUUUAAAUCUCUUAACGAGGAACAAUUGGAGGGCAAGUCUGGUGCCAGCAGCCGCGGUAAUUCCAGCUCCAAUAGCGUAUAUUAAAGUUGUUGCAGUUAAAAAGCUCGUAGUUGAAUUUCGGGGUUAGUAGGUUGGUCAUGCCUCUGGUAUGUACUGGUCUCACUGAUUCCUCCUUCCUUAUGAACCGUAAUGCCAUUAAUUUGGUGUUGCGGGGAAUUUGGACUGUUACUUUGAAAAAAUUAGAGUGUUUAAAGCAAGCUAACGCUUGAAUACAUUAGCAUGGAAUAAUGAAAUAGGACGUUCGAUCUUAUUUUGUUGGUUUCUAGGAUUGACGUAAUGAUUAAUAGGGAUAGUUGGGGGCAUUAGUAUUCAAUUGUCAGAGGUGAAAUUCUUGGAUUUAUUGAAGACUAACUACUGCGAAAGCAUUUGCCAAGGAUGUUUUCAUUAAUCAAGAACGAAAGUUAGGGGAUCGAAGACGAUCAGAUACCGUCGUAGUCUUAACCAUAAACUAUGCCGACUAGGGAUCGGAUGAUGUAAU
rnacentral:rRNA from 1 species